UUUGAUUCUUGCUUGGCCAAGUGGAAACAAGUGCUGUCGGUGGGUCGGUGGGUACUAGCCUUGUAGCGAGAGCAGCUCCUUGCCCUGGAGUCCCAUGGUUUGACUUAGGAGACUUACCAGGGCAGGGUGCGGAGCAUCCUCCAGGAGGUGGCAGCGAGGGAGAGCCAGCACAACAGGCAGCUGCUGCGCGGGGCAUUACGUCGCUGGAAAGAGAACACCAUGGCCCGAGUGGAUGAAGCCAAAAAAACCUUUCAAGCAAGUACUCAUUACAGAAGGACCAUAUGUUCCAAGGUCCUGGUCCAGUGGCGGGAAGCUGUGUCAGUGCAGAUAUAUUACCGACAGCAGGAGGACUGUGCCAUCUGGGAGGCCCGGAAGGUGCUGGACAGGGGCUGUCUGCGGACCUGGUUUCAGCGCUGGCGGAACUGCAGCCAGAGGUCAGCCCAGCAGAGACUGCAGCUAGAGAGGGCAGUCCAACACCACCACCGGCAGCUGCUGCUGGAGGGGCUGGCCCGGUGGAAGAUGCACCAUCGGGAGUGUGUCAGGAAGAGGCUCC
rnacentral:sRNA from 1 species